rnacentral:pre_miRNA from 1 species
AGAGGGAUGGCUGGGUCAAAUGGUGAUUUUGAUCCAAGUUUUCUAAGGAAUCUCCAUACCGCUUUCCAGAUUAGUUGCACCAAUUUGCAUUCCCAGCAGCAAU